rnacentral:lncRNA from 1 species
CUUCCCUCAUCUGAUGCCCUCUCACGAGGUCUCUGCACAAUUACCUCUGACUAUGGUCACCGAUAAAGGGUGGCCGGAUGACCGGUCUCCGUCGGAUUCCGUCAACGUCAUCUCGGGAGAAUCCCGGCGGGAGGCAAUCAGCACACCAGCCGCAUCCCUCAAGCGGCAAAAAGUUGAAGAGCCCAUAGCCUUCACUGAAGAAGACGCCCAGGGAGUCCAAUUCCCUCAUAACGAUGCGGUCG